rnacentral:rRNA from 1 species
AUUGAACGCUGGCGGAAUGCUUUACACAUGCAAGUCGAGCGGCAGCGCGGGGCAACCUGGCGGCGAGCGGCGAACGGGUGAGUAAUACAUCGGAACGUGCCCAGACGUGGGGGGAUAACUACUCGAAAGAGUGGCUAAUACCGCAUACGAUCUACGGAUGAAAGCGGGGGAUCGCAAGACCUCGCGCGUCUGGAGCGGCUGAUGGCAGAUUAGGUAGUUGGUGGGAUAAAAGCCUACCAAGCCAACGAUCUGUAGCUGGUCUGAGAGGAUGAUCAGCCACACUGGGACUGAGACACGGCCCAGACUCCUACGGGAGGCAGCAGUGGGGAAUUUUGGGACAAUGGGCGAAAGCCUGAUCCAGCCAUUCCGCGUGCAGGAUGAAGGCCCUCGGGUUGUAACUGCUUUGUACAGAACGAAAAAGCUCUGGCUAAUACCUGGAGUCCAUGACGGUACUGUAAGAAUAAGCACCGGCUAACUACGUAGCCAGCA